rnacentral:rRNA from 1 species
UAGUAUGGGGAUCUGCCCGAUAGAGGGGGAUAACUACUGGAAACGGUGGCUAAUACCGCAUAAUGUCUACGGACUAAAGCAGGGGCUCUUCGGACCUUGCACUAUCGGAUGAACCCAUAUGGGAUUAGCUAGUAGGUGGGGUAAAGGCUCACCUAGGCGAUGAUCUCUAGCUGGUCUGAGAGGAUGAUCAGCCACACUGGGACUGAGACACGGCCCAG